rnacentral:tRNA from 1 species
UGAGGUAUAGCUCAGUGGUAGAGUGCUUGCUUAUUUAGCAUGCAUAGGGUCCUGGGUUCAAUCCCCAGCACCUCCU